ACUCAGAGCAUCACCAGGCAGGAUGGAUGCUGGGUGAGCUGAGGACCCAGUGCUGGAGUGCUGGGAUUACGGAUGUGACCUACCACUCCCGGGAUUUGAUGUGGACUCUGGGGAUUCAAACCCAGGUCUUUGCACUUUUACAGUAAGUGCUUUGCCCAUGGAGUCAUCUCCCCAGCCGCUCAUGGAAGUUGUAUUAGCUGCUCAUCAUCUCAACUGUGAUCUCUUCCUGAAGAUAAGGAAGAGAGAUGCUGUUUAGGGCUAGUGUCCUUGGGAAAUGGAUGAACUUUGAAACUGUGAAUCUGAAGUCAUUUUUAUCAUCUCUGUCAGGCACUGCAGUCCCAGCACCAUGGAAGCAGCGGCACAGAGGACUAGCCUGGUCUACCGUGCAUCAUCCACGAGGGUUCAUGAGCUCCUCUCUGAGUUUAUGACCACAGACAUACGGGAAAACAGUGAAGAAUCACAUGCAAUUACCCUGUGGCUGUUGCCACAGGUCUUAGAGUUAGGUCUCUCAGCUCUCAAGGGGACUGGAGUUCCCUGGGCAGAUCUGGAGUCUACCUGAUGGACCAAAGUUUCAAUCCUCUCUUGAUAUUUGGAUAUCACACACUGAAUUAGAUCCUAGCAAAAUCCAGGGUGAUAUCCCUUCCAGGUACAAACCAGUUGAUGCCUCACUGCCUCAGAACCCUCACUGGCAGAGUAAACUUCUUCCAUUGACGGCCCAAAGCCUGCCCUCUCUGACUGUUUUAUACUUUCCUCCUCAGAGCAGGGUGGCUUUUUGUUUGUUUUUCUUUUCUUUCCUUUGCUCCCUCUCUCCCUCCCUUCCUCUCUCCCUCCCUCCUUCUUUUCUUCUCUCCCUCCU